ensembl:snoRNA
GCUCGUUGAAAAUCACCCCCGGCUCCGGCCGUGGCCGCGGGUGAGAUUCGGCGCCCACAGCGUCCCGGGCCCUCAGCUCACGGCCCACUGCCGGUGUGGGAGCGUGAAACCCAGGCCCCGACAGGC